UGCCCUGAGAUCCAGCAGUCAGCAGACCAAGUCCAGUUCCCUUCCCACUCUCAUUUUCACAGCGGUGCCCGGACGCUCACUUUCCCAGCUGCAAGCGUGUGCACAUACGGAGAGUUCUUGCGGUUCUGGAAAAGCUUUGACUUCAGGAUGGAGGGGGCAGAUGUGGCUGGUGCUACCCUGGUUUCUUCUUCCUACCUUGAGAAGCGCUGGACAGCCAUCCUGCAUCCAAGGGACAAGCCAAGAGGACUGCGGGGAUGCCAGCAUGACCCUGGUCUUCUGGAGCCCCUGCAUCAAGACCAACAACUGCCUCCUUCUGAACUUGUAUUGGGUGACAUAAACACUUGCUGGUCUGAGCCACAAUUUCCAGUUACUUGCAGCUAAAUGCAUUUCUUCCCAUCACAGUCACCUCCUCAGGACCACAGGUUGGCCCAGAUUCCCACUAUCCACAUGGAGAUACUGAGGUCUGGGGUGCACAGAAAACUUCCCCAGGGUCACACGGUGGGGUCACAAGUUUAGUGACUCACCAUCCACUGCUCCCUGUAUUCAGGCCACACCUCCUGGUCCAUUUCCUUUCAUUCAAGAUGCUGUAAGCAUGGCCAAACAGCUGCCUUGUAAAUUAAACACUUCUCAUGGAGACAGUGACGUCCUUGCCCCUGAAUCUUCCCGGUCUCUUACGCAAAUAGCCCUGGGCCACCUGCCCCCAUGCCUUUGGACCCAGGACAGGUUCCCCACAUCCUUUAAAAAGAUGAGAUGAUCAAAUGUAGACCCAGUGCUCCUGGAAAGGUGUGAGUCAUGCAUCGUGGAGCAGAAGGUUCACAGCCAGGAGUCUGCCCAUCCAGCACCCCACGCUUGCAUCGAGCUUGUUCUCUGCAGUGCUGACUCAUCUUCAGCUUGCGGUCAGCUCUGACACUCAGAUCAUUUUCUGCUCAUCUUGUGCCUGGCUAGUGGCCUUUAAUUAGGUGCUGUCAACUUCCUGUCUCUGUCCAUGUUGUCUUUUUUAGAAGACUGUAUGAAUACUAAAGACGUGAUGAUGAUGAUGAUAGCAGUUAGCACCGAGUGCUUUAAACGAAUUUAAAAUUUUUUUCUCAAAUAUCACUGUCUGAGAUAACAAGUAUUAUUAUUUCCAUUUCAUGGACAGGAAAACUAGGGCUUAAAAAUUUAAGCCAUUUGCCUGGGGUAACGGAGCCAGGAGUGCUUGAUGGAGCUGGAAUAUGACCCUGUGUUUGACCCUGGAGGCCGUCUCUAAAGCCGGGAGCCAGCUGGGCCUAUUAGGAGAGGUUCGGAGGCUUCCCUGCAGCAGUUCAGAUUAUAACAACAUUUAUUGUUUGUUUAAAAGGUCUCUGGAGACCGGAGGCCUCAUGGCGUAUUUGGCACUUCAAGGUUGUCAUAAGGGCCCUGGGCUCUCUGCCCUGUCCCUCUGUCCCAUCAGUAGCUAGUCAGCAAGUCGUCCCCAGCCUGGUCCUCACGUCCCAGAUGGUUGCCACAGCUCACCCAUCACCUCUUCACAUAACAGUGUCCACAGCAGGCGCAGAAGGAAAGGGGCAAACAUCGCUGUGCUCCUCAGAGAGGAAACUCUUUCCCAGAAGUCCCCAGCAGAGCUUCCCUUCAGCCAAACUGGGUCAUGGGACCACCUCUGGACCAAUCACAGGUCCAGGAAAAUAGCAGUGCUUCCCUUCAGCCAAACUGGGUCAUGUGACCACCUCUGGACCAAUCACAGGUCUCGGAGAAUAAGAUGGCCACGGUUGGCAGAAACCGAAGGUGUUUUUUACCCUCGGGCUAGACACAUGGCUGGCUGAACGUAGCCACGGGUCUGUCAGCAGGAGGGAAGAGGGAAUGGCAGUUGGCAAGAUUUUUGCUCCAGAGUGAAGGAAAGAUGCCCAGGCCCAGCAGGAAUCCGAGGGUGGAAUUUCAAGUUAGGAGAAGAGAAAACAGCUCAUCCUGAAAUCAAAUUGUCUCAAGAAUCUCAAUACGAAGACACCAUUCAUUUCACAGAAACACCUCAAGGCUGAGUCCACUUGUGAAACGCCUUCUCUUGGAACUCCAGUCGGAUUUCCCAGAAAUUUGGGAUUCUGUGAAACCCAUCUGGAAGCAUUUUGACUCAGGUUAGAGGUCGCAAACAGCAGUCUCCCACCUAAGGUGGGUCUAGCCAGCGGCCACGUAUACAGUAGACAUCGCCUGUUGUUUACCUGUCCGUCUCCUCUCUCAGAGCACCGGCUUCCGGGGGGACGCAGUGACGUCUCUCCACUCACUGCUAUCUCCCCAGAGUCCAGACUGUGCUGGGAGCAGAGCUGGUCCUCGGCAAGCUUUAAGGAAGAAUGAAAGACAGAGACCCACCUGGGUCCUGCUGCUCAUUACUGCAUGACCUUGUGCAAAUGGCUUCUGCCCCCAACAAUGUCCUCUUCCGUAAAGUGGAUCUAACGACAUAACCCUUACAGGGAAGCCACAGAAGAGCUGUCCCAAGUGUCAGGUGUCUGCUGCUGCUGUGAACCUUGGGAGGGAACAAGAGCAGAGCUGGAAGAAAGUCACCCCCACAGAGCCAAGAAGGAGGAGAGAAGCACAUUUGCCCUCCAGUGGGACAAGCCUGUUUUUCCAGGAUUCUCGGUAAGAAAGCAGAAGGGAAUCCAAGAAUCCCAGGGCGCAGCCUGGGCUGUCAGUUCCUUGGACGUCCGGCCUGGUUCCGUUCACCGCCUCCCUGUGCCUUCCCUGCAGCCCUGGCCCUCUGCUCCCUUGGGAGCGCCGGCCCCUCGGCUGGAUGCCCGCCCUUCCUCCAAAACAGCGGAUAAGGAGAGCUGCUCGAGAUGUUGUUUUCAUUACUAUUAUUAAUAUGUGAGGGCUCCAGCCCUCCUAACCCGCACUAGGAGGCCAGAGAAAAUGCCAGAAGAACAGCCAGCAACUACCUAGUACCUGCUGUGUGCCGUACUAUAUCGUGUUAAUAUACAGGCACCGCCGCCAGGCCUUUCUCGCUAUUAACUCAUUUGAUUGUCACAGCAACUUAUGAGGUGUUCACUGCCGUUAACUCCAUUUUGCAGAUAAUGAAACUGAGAUCUAGAGCAGUUAUGGAAUUGACCGCCAGGAGGCCAGGAUUCAAAUCUGUCGUUUGGCUCCAGAACCCACUCUUUUAACAAUACAUACAUUCUACUGCCUCGUGACACUUUAUUAUUUGAAAUGGUAACAUUUCCUGAGCACUCACUGUGUGCCAGCUACUAGGCUCAGCUUUCAUGGACAUCACCACUGUCAACCCUCUAAAGACCCUAUGAGUUUGUUUGAUUAUUAAACAGCCCCAUUUGACAGAAGGGGAAACUGAGGCCUCAGAGGUUGACGUGCUCCUGCCGACACAGCAUGGCAGGCUGUGUUUUCUCAGGCUGCUCACGGCAGUGUCUCCCAUCCUCAUCGUCUUUUCUUCUCUUAUAAAAUUAACAGGUUUCUCAAGAUAUAAUUUACAUGCCAUACGAUUCACCCUUUUAGAGCGCACAAUCCAGUGGGUUUUGGUACAUUCACACGGUGCAACCGUCACCACUGUCUAAAUUUAGAACACUGUCACAGCCCUCAAAACAAACCUCACACCCAUUAGCAGUCACUCCCUGUCCCCACCAUGUUGUGAGGAAACCCGCACUAGCCCACGUGAACCGGCCACACGGAGAAGUCACACGCAGGGUGCCCUCCUGACAGCCCAGCUGAGGAGCCAGCUGCCAGACAGACAAGAGAAGACCCACUAACAAAUGCCAGCCCCCCGAGCCAUCGAGUCACCCAGCCUUCAUGCUGUCCCAGCAGAGACCCCAGACAUCGUGGAGCAGACACAAGCCCUCUCACUGUGCCCCAUGUGUAUCCCCGACCCUCAGGACGCGUGCACGACAGAUCCAAGGGAACAGAAUGGCUGUUGCAUGCUGCUGUGUUUGGGUGGUGUUUGUUAUGCAGCAAAAGUAACCAAAGCACACAGCUGGCAAGGAGCAAAGCCAGGAUUCGAACCCCAGUCUGGCCUCGGGGCUACCCCUUUAAUCACCAAAAAGGCUGGAUGACCCCUUGGGUACUGCAGGAAGCCAGUGCCCCUUUGGCUGCUCACUUUGUUGCUGCUGCUGUGGUUGUUUAAUACACAAGAAGUCAUGUUCUUAUUCUUUGCAGAAAAGGUAGCAUGAAUAGGGAAACACAAAAUCCACCUGCAGGGAGAACCUCCAGGAAACACUAACUCACAGGCUCUCGCCAAUGCACUGUGGGCCAGACAGGGCGAGGGGAGAAAGACGGCCUGAACGGCGCGGGCGAGUGCGGCCGGCAGAUCCUGUAUUUUUGUUCAGCGUGUCUCCAAGCACAAGAUAACCCCCGUCCAGUGGCUGCUUCAAUUUCCUGAGAGUUUGUAACGCACCACGGUUGAGAGAAAAUCGAACGCACGUUUCAAGAUCAUUUUUGACUCUACAUAAAAAGAAACCUUUUUCCCCCAACAAAGAUUGUUUUACAUGCGUUGUUUUGUACCCGACUUUUCCACGUAACAACGUACUUUGAACUGCUUCUGCCUGAGCUGCUUUCUCCUGCCUCCUGUGCGGGGAGGAAGCGCUGGGAGGCCACGUGCUCCCUCGGUGUCAGUGAAGUCCCCUGGAGCACCGGGAGCUCCGGCCGCGACGCUGAGGGAGAGAAGCCAGCCAGGGAGGAGCCACACUGUGUGACUCCAUCCCCGAGGUUCAACGAGAUGAUGUUUUUGAAAGAGCGUUUUUAAGCAGCCAGAUUUAUAAAACACGCGAGAACUUUGAAGGCUCUGUUUGAAUGUGGUCAGCUCCACUGCGUAGACUCCAGGUAGGCCCAUGAUUCCCCCUCGGCUACAUCUGUGAUAAUCUGAUCUGCACUGAAAGUCACCGCACCUUUCGCAACACUCUCAGCCCCUUUUGUGUUAUUGGCCAUUUGCCUGGAACAGAAUCACUAGUAUUCUGGUUAGUUUAUUUAUUUCUAUACUAUUUCAUUGAUGGUGGGGAUAUAUAUCUUCCUGGUUCCUGUUUACACAAAAAGGAUCUGAUUACACACACUGCUUCAUAUCUCUGCUUUUUCUUUUUUCUACUUUAUAAUCUAUCUUGGAGAUUUUUCCAUAUCACACAUUGUGUGUGUGUGUGUGUGCUUGUGCGCUUUAACUACACAGAAAACUGCACACGUCAUACAUAAAAAACACAGGAAUAAGUGUCCCCGUUCUUUUAAAGACUGUGGGACAGUUGUUGGUGUGUCCACUCCCCUAGCGAUGGACACUUAGGGUGACUCUGGUCUUCUGCUGUUGCAGACGGUGCUGCAGUGACAGUCCUUGUGUGCACCUUAGAGCCCAGGAAAAUCACGGAGUCCUUUUGAGUCUGUUAAGGGAACCCCGGAGCUUACUUGUCCCCAACCUCAUCUUCACCCCCCUCAUCCCACCCCACCCUUGCUGGUGUUUGUGUUUUGGCCUUUUAAAGACUUUUUCAAAAUUGACUUUGGCUUCUUGGCCUGAACUCUGAGUGUUUGAGCUGAUAAGAUAGCAGGCUUGGCUGAGGGGUGCAGGGUAAACAGUGACCCUGGAGGCCCUCAGCCAAGCAGAGGAGGGGCCACACUCCCCAAGUCUCUCCCUGCCUCCAGAGCCAGCAGGGGGCCGGAGGAGGCUGGACUCAGCUUGGGCCCCAGACCGGUUAGGGGAGGGGGAGGAGGCAGGAAGGUGGCCCCGCACAGACCUGCUCCUUGCCUGCUGCUCUGACUGCCAGGACAGCACCGGAGCGCUGAGCAUGGCGCCUAUUUACUGGGCCUCUCCUAAACCAAACAAGACGCCAGGGGCAAGUCAGAGCAAAGUCCCGGCAAACCUAGAGACACGGGCACUUCCCAAAGAGGCCUCGCACCCCAAGGAGCUGAGUGGCCCCAGGAGGGGCCCUGUCUCCAUGGCUGUGCAGACAACAUUGGCACAAUCUCGGCACAGGAUCACCGCGUGGUGUCUGUAGCUAUCACAUUCCUGGGACCUCACCUGCCUGGUGCCGGUCUAGGCCACAGAGGUGAACAGAUCAGUCCGGAUUCCACCCUCUACAACUUUCUUCAGCCUAGGAGGGCAGAGAGGAAACGGGCGGGCAGAACUCUGGGGCCAGAGCAGGGGCACUGUCUGGCGGCCUAGGGUGGUCCACAGCCCAGCUGAAAACCCCUCCGGGCUGCCUAACCCAGCCACUCAGGAGGCUGAGGCAGGAGGAUCGUUGAGCCCAGGAGUUCACGGCCAGCCUGGGCAACACAGCAAGACUGUUUUUCAAAACAAAAACAAAAACUCUGGGGCUUCUCAGGGCUUCUCAAGGCUCCCAGGCCUCACGGCCCUUGCACACUUCCUCCCUGCUCAGCUCCUCCAGCGGGGUCCACGGUGCCAGCCUGGCAACACUCCUGGCCCGCUCCGUCCUCGGGGCCUCCUACUGCUGCUCCCUCUGCCAGCAGCGCCUCACUUCCCACCACCCACUAGUCCUGUAACUCUAAGCUGGGACGUCACCUCCUCCUCCAGGAAGCCUUCCCUGAUACCCCUAGAUGGGCCCAGUGCUUCUUUGGAAAUGUCACAUGCUCUUGUACAUUCCCUGGGCCAGUUUCAAUACUCUGAAUUGGGGUCACUUGUUUUUUGGUGACCCAAAGUAGCCCAUCAUGGCCAGAGCCCAGGCUCUAUGGCUGACCCAGCUGCAUUCAAAUGCUGGCUCUGUCUCAGCUGUGCAACCUGGGGCCUCAGUUUUCUUCUCUGGAAAAUGGGCACAGUGAUGGCGUCUGCCUCGUAGGGUGGCUGUGAGGAAGAAGCAAUUUAAUACAAGUGCUUAGAAUGGCAUCUGGCACUGAGUUUGCACUCAGUAAAUGUUGGCAGUAUCAUUUCAACCUCUCUUUCCACAGACCAUAGUAGGAUGAACAAAUGCAGCCCUUCAAACAUGUUCAUGAAAACGAGCAGUUGUGGGAUAUGCUUACGAUAUACAGAUGCCCCCCGACCUGCAAUGGGGCUACGUCCUGAUAAACCCACCGCAAGUUGAAAUUAUCAUAAGUCAAAAGAGCAGUGAAUACACCUGACCUACUGAACAUCCUUAAACAUGCUCAGAACGCCUACAGGAGCCCUCAGUUGGGCAAAAUCAUCUAACACAAGGCCUAUUUUAUAAUCAAGUGUUGAAUACCUCAUGUAAAGUAUAGUGCCACAUACCACACCACGAAUAAAAGAUCCAAAUCCAAAAUUUGAAGUACAGUUUCUACCAAAUACCUAUCGCUUUCAGACCAUCGUAAAGUGGAAAAUCCAAGAUGAGCCGUCGUAAGUCAGGAACUGUCUGCAGUGGAAAAGUUUUUGAAAACACUAAGUGGUUGAGCAGCAUGAUUUACAACUAUGUAAACACACACACAGCCCAGUACCCUGGCUUAAGGAAAAGGAAAAAACAAAACAACAGAUUGUUUAGUGUGGUUGCAUUAGAGGGAUGGGACAGAAAAUAAUUUU